UCUUUAUUGGUGCUACUGAAUACACCCUUUUUUCAAUAUGUAGCUUAGAUCUGACAACUCAUUACAAACAUACGGUGAUAUUUAAAUAGCAGCUUUAAUACAGAGAGCCCUACUUGGUGCUUGGAACAUUGUCAGAUGGGUUUGCUGCAGCCUUUCUUUCUUUGUGUCAUGCUGAGACAUGGAAGCCCUGAUGGAGAUGCGUUGGACCCUGCCCUACUGCUUUCUCUUGUGACAUCCAUUAGCAUAAACUAAAGGAUAUCUUAAAAGGAGCAGAUGAAGAGAUGCAUAGCAUAACUUCUGGAAAAGUCCUGAGCGCAGGGACAUCUGUCCCUGUGGCACUGGGGUGCACCACACAGCACAUGGAUAAUUUUCAUGGCUGGCUGCUUGGAUGUUUCAACUGUUUGACUACCGAGAACGGAGUGUCGAGGAAAGCUGUCAUCCACAUCACUACAUUGCCAUCUGCUGUUCCUCCUCACUGAAAUGUCUCUCAUUUUCU